rnacentral:rRNA from 1 species
UACGUAGGGGGCAAGCGUUGUCCGGAUUUAUUGGGCGUAAAGAGCGUGUAGGCGGCUAGAUAGGUCCGUUGUGAAAACUCGAGGCUCAACCUCGAGACGUCGAUGGAAACCAUCUGGCUAGAGUCCGGAAGAGGAGAGUGGAAUUCCUGGUGUAGCGGUGAAAUGCGCAGAUAUCAGGAAGAACACCCGUGGCGAAGGCGGCUCUCUGGUACGGUACUGACGCUGAGACGCGAAAGCGUGGGGAGCGAACAGG